rnacentral:snRNA from 1 species
GUGCUUACUUCAGCAAUACAUAUAUUAAAAUUAGAAUGAUACAGAGAAGAUUAGCAUGGCCCCUGCCUAAGUAUGACACAUAAAUUCACCAAGUGUUUCACACUUCU